rnacentral:rRNA from 1 species
AGCCUGAUGCAGCGACGCCGCGUGAGGGAUGACGGCCUUCGGGUUGUAAACCUCUUUCAGUAGGGAAGAAGCGUAAGUGACGGUACCUGCAGAAGAAGCGCCGGCUAACUACGUGCCAGCAGCCGCGGUAAUACGUAGGGCGCAAGCGUUAUCCGGAAUUAUUGGGCGUAAAGAGCUCGUAGGCGGUUUGUCGCGUCUGCCGUGAAAGUCCGGGGCUCAACUCCGGAUCUGCGGUGGGUACGGGCAGACUAGAGUGAUGUAGGGGAGACUGGAAUUCCUGGUGUAGCGGUGAAAUGCGCAGAUAUCAGGAGGAACACCGAUGGCGAAGGCAGGUCUCUGGGCAUUAACUGACGCUGAGGAGCGAAAGCAUGGGGAGCGAACAGGAUUAGAUACCCUGGUAGUCCAUGCCGUAAACGUUGGGCACUAGGUGUGGGGGACAUUCCACGUUUUCCGCGCCGUAGCUAACGCAUUAAGUGCCCCGCCUGGGGAGUACGGCCGCAAGGCUAAAACUCAAAGGAAUUGACGGGGGCCCGCACAAGCGGCGGAGCAUGCGGAUUAAUUCGAUGCAACGCGAAGAACCUUACCAAGGCUUGACAUGAACCGGAAAGAUCUGGAAACAGGUCCCCCACUUGUGG